GACGAACGCUGGCGGCGUGCCUAAUACAUGCAAGUAGAACGCACAGAUUAUACCGUAUCUUGCUAAACCAUAAACUGUGAGUUGCGAACGGGUGAGUAACGCGUAGGUAACCUGCCUGGUAGCGGGAGAUAACUAUUGGAAACGAUAGCUAAUACCGCAUAAUAGUGAUUAUUGCAUGAUAAUUGAUUGAAAGAGGCUAUUGCAUCACUACCGGCUGGACCUGCGUUGUAUUAGCUAGUAGGUGAGGUAACGGCCCACCUAUGCGAAGAUACAGAGCCGAGCUGGGAAGGUGAUCCGCCACACUGGGAACGAGACCAGGCUCAGGCUCCCUCGGGAGGCAGCAGGAGGGAAUUUUCGGCAAUGGACGGAAGUCUGAACGCGCACAGCCGGGUGAGUGAAGGAGGGUUUCGGAUCGUAAAGCUCUGUUGUAAGAGAAGAAAGGGUGUGAGAGUGGAAAGUUCACGCUGUGACGGUAUCUUAACAGAAAGGGACGGCUAACUACGUG
rnacentral:rRNA from 1 species